AUAAUCUUUAAUGUGUUUAAAAUAAAAGAUGCUUCUUUUGUUACGGGACCUGUUGAAAUAGUGGUGGAAUUUCGUCAAGAAUUUCAAACAAUGGAUGUGAUAUCCAUUGUUAAAAAUGAGUUGCCAAAUGAAGUUAAGGAGAUUUGAAUUGAGAGAAUACAGGAACAAGGUUAUAGUGUCUUAAAGACAAUAAUAAGGUAAUAAAGAUAAAAGAGAUUUUCUCUAUAACUAUGUUUCAUCUCUCCUUUGUCUUUCCUUAUUUUUAUUUUUUGUGAGAAUGAAUACUUUGAUUUUAGUAUAAAAACUUUACUCACUCAAUUUUCACUUAAUACAUGUAGUCUCAUUUUCAACCCGA